CCUACGGGUGGCAGCAGUGGGGGAUAUUGCACAAUGGGGGAAACCCUGAUGCAGCGACGCCGCGUGUGGGAAGACGGUCCUCUGGAUUGUAAACCACUGUCCCCAGGGACGAAAAUGACGGUACCUGGGGAGGAAGCUCCGGCUACCUACGUGCCAGCAGCCGCGGUAAUACGUAGGGAGCGAGGGUUGUCCGGAUUUACUGGGUGAAAGGGGAGCGUAGGCGGGGAUGCAAGUUGGGUGUCAAAACUACCGGCUCAACUGGUAGUCGCACUCAAAACUGCAGCUCUUGAGUGAAGUAGAGGCAGGCGGAAUUCCUGGUGUAGCGGUGAAAUGCGUAGAUAUUAGGAGGAACACCAGUGGCGAAGGCGGCCUGCUGGGCUGUUACUGACGCUGAGGCUCGAAAGUGUGGGGAGCAAACAGGAUUAGAUACCCUGGUAGUC
rnacentral:rRNA from 1 species